rnacentral:rRNA from 1 species
GCGCUCUCCCGGGUUGGACGGCAUCAAUGGCACUAUCUGCAAGGCAGUCUGGCGCGCCAUACCUGAGCACCUAGCAUUGUUUUCAUUGUUUUCCCGAUGCAUCCGAUUGGGAUACUUUCCAGCCGAGUGGAAGUGCCCACGAGUCGUCUCGCUGCUCAAAGGGCCAGAUAAGGACAAGUGUGAGCCCUCCUCAAAUAGAGGAAUAUGCUUGCUACCAGUCUUUGGUAAGGUGCUCGAAGCCAUCAUGGUGAAUCGUGUGAGAGAAGUUCUUCCGGAAGGCUGCAGAUGGCAAUUUGGAAUUCGCCAAGGACGAUAUGUGGAGGAUGCUUGGAGGCACGUGAAGAGCAGUGUUGGCGCCAGCCCGGCGCAAUACGUGCUCGGCACAUUCGUGGACUUCAAAGGAGCAUUUGACAACGUCGAGUGGAGUGCUGCACUCUGCCGAGUAGCCGACUUGGGAUGCCGGGAAAUGGGCUUGUGGCAGAGCUUAUUCUCCGGCCGAAGAGCAGUGAUCCGAAGCAGUUCCGGUACUGUGGAUGAACCGGUAACUAGAGGCUGCCCGCAGGGAUCAAUCAGCGGCCCAGCGUCUCCAUCCGUAUUGCCAGCUGAGUGCAUACGCGGAUGACUUGCUGCUUCUCGUCGAGGGAAAUUCCCGAGCUGUGCUAGAGGAAAAAGGAGCGCAACUAAUGUCCAUCGUAGAAACGUGGGGAGCGGAAGUUGGCGUUGCCGUCUCGACCAGCAAGACGGUAAUCAUGCUGCUGAAAGGUGCCUUGAGACAUGCGCCUACGGUGAGGUUUGCUGGAGCGAACCUUCCGUAUGUGCGUAGCUGUCGGUACCUUGGCAUCAUGGUCAGUGAAGGAAUGAAAUUCCUCACGCACAUAGCUUCGCUUCGCCAGCGGAUGACCGGAGUCGUUGGAGCAUUGGCGCGUGUGCUUCGAGCCGACUGGGGCUUCAGUCCUCGGUCCAGGCGGACGAUAUAUGACGGACUCAUGGCACCUUGUGUGCUGUUUGGUGCCCCGGUAUGGUAUGACACCGCGGAACAAGUAGCUGCCCAGAGGCGACUAGCCUCCUGCCAGAGGCUAAUCCUGCUUGGAUGCCUUUCGGUAUGCCGAACAGUGUCCACAGUGGCACUGCAGGUACUUGGUGGAGCUCCCCCGCUUUAUCUGGCUGCUAAGUUAUUAGCGGUCAAAUACAAGCUAAAACGUGGAUUCCCGCUGGAGGAGAACGACUGGCUUUACGGCGAGGACAUUGCGUGUCUAAGCUGGGAGCAGAGGAAGACUCGCCUAGAGGAGUGUUUAAUCCAGAGUUGGCAGAACAGAUGGGACGACGAUUUUGGAUUCUCGAUGAGGACGUCUUUCCUGCUUACAGGGCACGGGUCGUUCAAUGCAUUUUUGCACGGGAGAGCCCUCAGCGAUACCACUGCUUGCGCAUGUGUAGAUCCAUAUGAGGACUGGAUGCACAUUUUGUGCGCUUGCCCCCUAUAUGCAGAUCUGCGGGACCUAGAUGGACUUGAAGUGCAGCGCCUUGGCGAAAACUGGAUCUUCGAGAGAAUCCUGGAGAUGAUCAAGAGAAGACUCAACGGCUAGCAAUGUUCGCGGAGGAAGUGUUCCUAAGGAGGAGGGGCGUCAGUAGAGAUUUUAGGUAGAUCUCGCUCCUCAGCAAGGGGGAGUGCUUGCCCGGCAAGCAAGUACUCGAAUUGCCACCGGGGUGGUCGCUAUGUACAUAGCUAUAGAUUCUAGUCCGGGACGCUUGUCUGGCGUAUCCAGACACAUGCACCAUAUGCUCACUUGUGGGUGUAUAGGGUGCCGUGGUUGUUAUCCCUUCAGUGUGGAACACGCCACGUAAAACAAGUUCGGAGGGAUCCGAAAAGCAUACAUUGUCCCUAUCUACUAUCUAGCGAAACCACAGCCAAGGGAACGGGCUUGGAAUAAUUAGCGGGGAAAGAAGACCCUUUUGAGCUUGACUCUAAUCUGGCAGUGUAAGGAGACAUAAGAGGUGAAGAAUAAGUGGGAGAUAUUAGACCUCGGUUUGCUAUCGUCAAUGAAAUACCACUACUCUUAUUGUUUCCUUACUUACUUGAUUAAAUGGAACGUGUAUCAUUUCCUAGCUAUUAUACGGAUAUAUUUAUUAUAUCUUAUGGUAUUGGGUUUUGAUGCAAGCUUCUUGAUCAAAGUAUCACGAGUUUGUUAUAUAAUCGCAAACAAAUUCUUUAAUAAAACGAUGCAUUUAUGUAUUUUUGAUUUGAAAAUUUGGUAUAACUCCAAUUACUCAGGUAUGAUCCAAUUCAAGGACAUUGCCAGGUAGGGAGUUUGACUGGGGCGGUAAGUCUCUCAAAUAAUAACGGAGGUGUCCCAAGGCCAGCUCAGUGCGGACAGAAACCACACAUAGAGCAAACGGGCAAAUGCUGACUUGAUCUCGGUGUUCAGUACACACAGGGACAGCAAAAGCUCGGCCUAUCGAUCCUUUUGGUUUAAAGAGUUUUUAACAAGAGGUGUCAGAAAAGUUACCAUAGGGAUAACUGGCUUGUGGCGGCCAAGCGUUCAUAGCGACGUCGCUUUUUGAUCCUUCGAUGUCGGCUCUUCCUAUCAUUGUGAAGCAAAAUUCACCAAGCGUUGGAAUGUUCACCCAUGCAAGGGAACGUGAGCUGGGUUUAGACCGUCGUGAGACAGGUUAGUUUUACCCUACUAAUGACAAAACGUUAUUGCGACAGCAUUCCUGCGUAGUACGAGAGGAACCGCAGGUACGGACCAAUGGCACAAUACUUGUUCGAGCGAACAGUGGUAUGACGCUACGUCCGUUGGAUUAUGCCUGAACGCCUCUAAGGUCGUAUCCGUGCUGGACUGCAAUGAUAAAUAAGGGGCAAUUUGCAUUGUAUGGCUUCUAAACCAUUUAAAGUUUAUAAUUUACUUUAUAAACGACAAUGGAUGUGAUGCCAAUGUAAUUUGUAACAUAGUAAAUUGGAAGGAUCUUCGAUCACCUGAUGCCGCGCUAGUUACAUAUAAAAGCAUUAUUU